rnacentral:rRNA from 1 species
CAUGCAAGUCGAGCGGUAAGGCCUUUCGGGGUACACGAGCGGCGAACGGGUGAGUAACACGUGGGUGAUCUGCCCUGCACUUCGGGAUAAGCCUGGGAAACUGGGUCUAAUACCGGAUAUGACCUCCUAUCGCAUGGUGGGUGGUGGAAAGAUUUAUCGGUGCAGGAUGGGCCCGCGGCCUAUCAGCUUGUUGGUGGGGUAAUGGCCUACCAAGGCGACGACGGGUAGCCGACCUGAGAGGGUGACCGGCCACACUGGGACUGAGACACGGCCCAGACUCCUACGGGAGGCAGCAGUGGGGAAUAUUGCACAAUGGGCGAAAGCCUGAUGCAGCGACGCCGCGUGAGGGAUGACGGCCUUCGGGUUGUAAACCUCUUUCAGCAGGGACGAAGCGCAAGUGACGGUACCUGCAGAAGAAGCACCGGCUAACUACGUGCCAGCAGCCGCGGUAAUACGUAGGGUGCAAGCGUUGUCCGGAAUUACUGGGCGUAAAGAGUUCGUAGGCGGUUUGUCGCGUCGUUUGUGAAAACCAGCAGCUCAACUGCUGGCUUGCAGGCGAUACGGGCAGACUUGAGUACUGCAGGGGAGACUGGAAUUCCUGGUGUAGCGGUGAAAUGCGCAGAUAUCAGGAGGAACACCGGUGGCGAAGGCGGGUCUCUGGGCAGUAACUGACGCUGAGGAACGAAAGCGUGGGUAGCGAACAGGAUUAGAUACCCUGGUAGUCCACGCCGUAAACGGUGGGCGCUAGGUGUGGGUUCCUUCCACGGAAUCCGUGCCGUAGCUAACGCAUUAAGCGCCCCGCCUGGGG